GUUUAAAUAUUUUAAUAAAAAUAUUGAAUUGUGAUUUCAAUGAUACAAUUAUAUUUGUUUUAAACC
rnacentral:tRNA from 1 species